rnacentral:lncRNA from 1 species
CAUCACAAAACUGCUGGAGGUUUUUAAAUAGUGUAUGUUAGACUAAAUGGAUCAAUGACAAGAACAAAAAAUGUGACCUUCAUCAAUAAACUCAUCAAGUCAAAACAUUGGUCAAAAAUCAACUGAACUUGUUUCCUUCCCGUUCUUGAAACCACAAAGAUCUCAACAACUACAACAAGCUUCUCCACCAUUUUCUUUGCUGCCAUGGUGACCAGUCAUUUUCCAACUAGGAAACUAGAAGUGUUAUUUUAAAUUUUAUAUAAUAUAAUAUGGGGCAAAGGCAGGGAGAGAAGCAGCAACUCUUUUGCUCUGUAACCCAGCCUGAUACAUGUAGAGAGGACAUUAACCUUCAGGUAAACAGGCAGAUUACUAUCUGAUUUUGUGGAUCUCGUGAGAGCUUGUAACACAUGCGCAGAUACGCUUUGCUUCAGAAACAGUACAGCAAGGUUUAGUGGGGAUUGGUGUCGCCCCAGAGAUGCUUCCACUUCUGGUGUAAAUCCAGGGUCACAGAUUCACAUCUUUGUCAAGCAGUGAAAACGAACUUCAUAAGUCAAAAGACUAGAAGAAAUUAUUCAUGAGCAGAGUGUUGAGGAUGAAACUGUCAGUGCUGAGCAACACAAUAUUCUUUAUGCAAUCCUUACUUCCUGUGACCAUUCUUCUGACUCGUAUACCAUGCUAUAGGUGGUUAGAGUGGUUAGAGUUUAGUAAAUGAUCUCUGGACUCAACAUUCUGCAGACAACUGAGGUCAUUUCAUGUGGGCGGAGCUUUAUUUUUAUUAGCAUCACCUCGCAGCCUGAACAUAAACAAUCAGUAGUCUGACCAUGAUGGAGGUUGUUCACGUUGUUGUGGCUGUGCUUGGUCUUCUGUCUGUCGGACAGUCUGCUCCUGUAAACAGCUGCGAGAGUUUAAUCCAACCUUUGCAAAGCCAAGGAAGAGAUCAGCUGCUGGGACGAUGGACGUACAGAGCAGAAAGCACAGACAUGCCUGGAACCAGCGUGUUGACAAAGAUGCUUGUGGAGAGUGCUUGGUGGAACUUAACCGCCGCUGACGAUACUGACACCAUCAACAGUUUACAGAUUCAGAAAACGUUGAGCAUUUGCAUGACACACAGAUUUAACAUGACCUUCAAAAACGGCACUAUCACUGUGGACAAACCUUAUCGUGGAGUUGGCAUGCUGCUGAGCACCAGCUGCCCUGACUGCAUGAUUUUCUACUCUAAUUUCUCUCUGGGAAGCAGCACAUUCAGAGCUCUCCAGCUCCUCAGCAGGAGAAAUGAGUUGUCUGCUGCUGAGCUGGACGAGUUUAAGAAGCAGGCCGAGUGUGUCAACUUACCAUCACCCAUCAUCAUGGACCCAAAGAAAGACUUGUGCCCUGAUCCAUCUCAAACCCAAGACACAAAGACCAUUGAUCUGACUGAUAGCAUCAAAAACAUCAAACCUGAAGACAUCAAUGCACUCGGUGAACUCUUCAAAUCUGAAACAGGAAUUAAGAAGUUCAUCGACAUGGUACAUGCCGCAGCAGCUAAUCUAAAGACAAAUUAGAAACGCCAUGAAACGCAGAGAAAUUAACUAAAGUCAGGCUUUCCUGUCAGAUUUGUUCUUUCAUGUUUCAUGUUUGUUCAGUCUCUGGCUAUUAUGACAAUAAAGCUGACAGCAGAAAACA